UCGUCGUGUUUUGAGCGGCUGACAUACAUUUUUCGAGCCUAGCGGAUCGAGCGGACUACGCCACUAUCGUUUUCAAUUCAGUGCGCAAAAUAAAGCAGAAAGAAAAUCAGCAAAAAUAGGCAAGACAAAAAGGAGACAACGGCACAAAGUAAACCCAAAGGCAAACUAUUCAUUUACAAAGGUUUGGAAAGUUAGUAAAUCGCGGAAUCCGAGAAGAUUUAAAUAAACAACAAACAUAAACAGUGAUAUGUAGUGAGCGGCCGAGGGCAGCAUUUUCAGCGCACAAAAAGUUCAAACACAGCCGGAGCCGAAGAACAAAGGCCGAGCAGCCGGAGCGGGCGCUGCAAAAGUGCAACAGCUGCAUAGGAAACCGAACUGAAACCCCCGCCCGAGCAGGUCCAUAACCAGAUCCAUAUCCACAUCAAAGUCCAGGCCCCAUUUCCGAGUGCCGAGUUCCCAGAUUCCGGACUCCAAAGCUGCUGCGGCGGGAGAAUGUGUAGUGCAACACACGGGCGGCAGCUUCAAGUGGCAAUUGUGGCAGCAGCAGCGGCGAAC